rnacentral:rRNA from 1 species
AACGAACGCUGGCGGCAUGCCUAACACAUGCAAGUCGAACGAGACCUUCGGGUCUAGUGGCGCACGGGUGCGUAACGCGUGGGAACCUGCCCUUAGGUUCGGAAUAACUCCCCGAAAGGGGUGCUAAUACCGGAUAAUGUCUUCGGACCAAAGAUUUAUCGCCUUUGGAUGGGCGCGCGUUGGAUUAGCUAGUUGGUAGGGUACAAGCCUACCAAGGCGACGAUCCAUAGCUGGUCUGAUAGGAGGAUCAGCCACAAUGGGACUGAGACCCGGCCCAGACCCCUACGGGAGGGAGGAGUGGGGAACAUUGGACAAGGGGCGAAGACGUAAUCCAGCAAUGCCGGGGAAGAGGGGAAGGCGUUAGGGUUGUAAAGCUCUUUGACCCGGAAUGAGAAUGACAGUACCGGGUAAAUAAGCACCGGCUAACUCCGUG